rnacentral:rRNA from 1 species
GAGGACAAAACUGUCUCUUACGGACUAGCCAAUGAAAUUGAUCCUUCAGUACAAAAGCUGAAAUUAACCCAUAAGACGAGAAGACCCUGUGGAGCUUCAAAACCAAAACCACUAAACAUGCCUCCUGGUUUUUUAGUUGGGGCGACUUUGGAGCAAAAAAAACCCUCCAAAACAUAAAUCUAUUUAUUAAGAACAACACACCAAAAAUAAUAUUAUAGACCCAGCAGUAUUAAUUUACUGUCUGAUCAAUGAACCAAGUUACCCCAGGGAUAACAGCGCUAUCCUCUUCUAGAGUCCUUAUCGACAAGGGGGUUUACGACCUCGAUGUUGGAUCAG